GGGCCCGCACAAGCGGUGGAGCAUGUGGUUUAAUUCGAUGCAACGCGAAAAAACCUUACCAGGCCUUGACAUCCUGAGAAUUCGGUAGAGAUACCUUAGUGCCUUCGGGAACUCAGUGACAGGUGUUGCAUGGCUGUCGUCAGCUCGUGUCGUGAGAUGUUGGGUUAAGUCCCGUAACGAGCGCAACCCUUAUCCUUAUUUGCCAGCACUUCGGGUUGGGAACUUUAAGGAGACUGCCGGUGACAAACCGGAGGAAGGAGAGGGAUGAUGUCAAGUCAUCAUGGCCCUUACGGCCUGGGCUACACACGUGCUACAAUGGGCAGUACAGAGGGCCGCGAUACCGUGAGGUGGAGCAAA
rnacentral:rRNA from 1 species